AUUUAAAUAGCUUAAAUUUAGAGCAUAAUAUUGAAGAUAUUAAGGUAACAUAAUGUUUUUAAAUA
rnacentral:tRNA from 1 species